rnacentral:snoRNA from 1 species
AAGCAUAUCCGUAGACCUUAUAUCUGUGGGGGUGGGGAGACAGUGUAUGCAAGAUGAAUUGGUGUUCAUGUGAGCGCUAACCUGUUUAAUCAGUAACUGGGUAAAUUGCAGUAUUCAAACAUUC